rnacentral:rRNA from 1 species
GAUGAACGCUGGCGGCGUGCCUAAUACAUGCAAGUCGAGCGAACGGACGAGAAGCUUGCUUCUCUGAUGUUAGCGGCGGACGGGUGAGUAACACGUGGAUAACCUACCUAUAAGACUGGGAUAACUUCGGGAAACCGGAGCUAAUACCGGAUAAUAUUUUGAACCGCAUGGUUCAAAAGUGAAAGACGGUCUUGCUGUCACUUAUAGAUGGAUCCGCGCUGCAUUAGCUAGUUGGUAAGGUAACGGCUUACCAAGGCAACGAUGCAUAGCCGACCUGAGAGGGUGAUCGGCCACACUGGAACUGAGACACGGUCCAGACUCCUACGGGAGGCAGCAGUAGGGAAUCUUCCGCAAUGGGCGAAAGCCUGACGGAGCAACGCCGCGUGAGUGAUGAAGGUCUUCGGAUCGUAAAACUCUGUUAUUAGGGAAGAACAUAUGUGUAAGUAACUGUGCACAUCUUGACGGUACCUAAUCAGAAAGCCACGGCUAACUACGUGCCAGCAGCCGCGGUAAUACGUAGGUGGCAAGCGUUAUCCGGAAUUAUUGGGCGUAAAGCGCGCGUAGGCGGUUUUUUAAGUCUGAUGUGAAAGCCCACGGCUCAACCGUGGAGGGUCAUUGGAAACUGGAAAACUUGAGUGCAGAAGAGGAAAGUGGAAUUCCAUGUGUAGCGGUGAAAUGCGCAGAGAUAUGGAGGAACACCAGUGGCGAAGGCGACUUUCUGGUCUGUAACUGACGCUGAUGUGCGAAAGCGUGGGGAUCAAACAGGAUUAGAUAUCCUGGUAGUCCACGCCGUAAACGAUGAGUGCUAAGUGUUAGGGGGUUUCCGCCCCUUAGUGCUGCAGCUAACGCAUUAAGCACUCCGCCUGGGGAGUACGACCGCAAGGUUGAAACUCAAAGGAAUUGACGGGGACCCGCACAAGCGGUGGAGCAUGUGGUUUAAUUCGAAGCAACGCGAAGAACCUUACCAAAUCUUGACAUCCUUUGACAACUCUAGAGAUAGAGCUUUCCCCUUCGGGGGACAAAGUGACAGGUGGUGCAUGGUUGUCGUCAGCUCGUGUCGUGAGAUGUUGGGUUAAGUCCCGCAACGAGCGCAACCCUUAAGCUUAGUUGCCAUCAUUAAGUUGGGCACUCUAAGUUGACUGCCGGUGACAAACCGGAGGAAGGUGGGGAUGACGUCAAAUCAUCAUGCCCCUUAUGAUUUGGGCUACACACGUGCUACAAUGGACAAUACAAAGGGCAGCGAAACCGCGAGGUCAAGCAAAUCCCAUAAAGUUGUUCUCAGUUCGGAUUGUAGUCUGCAACUCGACUACAUGAAGCUGGAAUCGCUAGUAAUCGUAGAUCAGCAUGCUACGGUGAAUACGUUCCCGGGUCU